CCAAUAGCGUAUAUUAAAGUUGUUGCAGUUAAAAAGCUCGUAGUUGAAUUUCGGGAUUUGUCAGUUGGUCGGGCUUCACUGUCCGUAUUGACUUGAUGGAUUCUUACCUUCUGAAUAACCAGCAUGCUAUUAAGUUAGUGCGUUGGGGAAGCAGAUCUAUUACCUUGAAAAAAUUAGAGUGCUUAAAGCGAGCUAGUGCUUGAAUAGAUUAGCAUGGAAUAAUAAAAUAGGACGGCAUGGUUCUAUUUUGUUGGUUUCCAGGAUCACCGUAAUGAUUAAUAGGGAUAGUUGGGGGCAUUAGUAUUCAAUUGUCAGAGGUGAAAUUCUUGGAUUUAUUGAAGACUAACUUCUGCGAAAGCAUUUGCCAAGGAUGUUUUCAUUAAUCAAGAACGAAAGUUAGGGGAUCGAAGACGAUCAGAUACCGUCGUAGUCUUAACCAUAAACUAUGCCGACUAGGAAUCGGACGAUGUUAAUUUUAUAAUGACUCGUUCGGCACCUUACG
rnacentral:rRNA from 1 species